GACGAACGCUGGCGGCGUGCUUAACACAUGCAAGUCGAACGGAAAGGCCCUGCUUUUUUGGGGUGCUCGAGUGGCGAACGGGUGAGUAACACGUGAGUAACCUGCCCUUGACUUUGGUAUAACUUCAGGAAACUGGGGCUAAUACCGUAUAGGAGCUCCUGCUGCAUGGUGGGGGUUGGAAAGUUUCGGCGGUUGGGGAUGGACUCGCGGCUUAUCAGCUUGUUGGUGGGGUAGUGGCUUACCAAGGCUUUGACGGGUAGCCGGCAUGAGAGGGUGACCGGCCACAUUGGGACUGAGAUACGGACCAGACUCCUACGGGAGGCAGCAGUGGGGAAUAUUGCACAAUGGGCGGAAGCCUGAUGCAGAAACGCCGCGUGCGGGAUGACGGCCUUCGGGUUGUAAACAGCUUUCGCCUGUGACGAAGCGUGAGUGACGGUAAUGGGUAAAGAAGCACCGGCUAACUACGUG
rnacentral:rRNA from 1 species